UACGUAGGGUGCGAGCGUUAAUCGGAAUUACUGGGCGUAAAGCGUGCGCAGGCGGUUUUGUAAGCCAGAUGUGAAAUCCCCGGGCUCAACCUGGGAAUGGCAUUUGGGACUGCAAGGCUAGAGUUUGGCAGAGGGGGGGUAGAAUUCCACGUGUAGCAGUGAAAAUGCGCAGAUAUCAGGAGGAACACCGAUGGCGAAGGCAGCUCACUGGGACGGUACUGACGCUGAGGCGCGAAAGCGUGGGGGAGCAAAACAGG
rnacentral:rRNA from 1 species